rnacentral:rRNA from 1 species
UACGGAGGAUGCGAGCGUUAUCCGGAUUUAUUGGGUUUAAAGGGUGCGUAGGCGGCCUUGUAAGUCAGCGGUGAAAUUUUACAGCUUAACUGUAAAAGUGCCGUUGAUACUGUGAGGCUAGGAUUUGGUUGCUGUGGGUGGAAUGUGUGGUGUAGCGGUGAAAUGCUUAGAGAUCACACAGAAUAUCGAUUGCGAAGGCAGCUCACAAAGCCAAGAUUGACGCUGAGGCACGAAAGUGUGGGGAUCAAACAGGAUUAGA